GAUGAACGCUGGCGGCGUGCUUAACACAUGCAAGUCGAACGAAGCGAAUUUAUUGGAUCUUUCGGGAAAAGAUAAAUUUGACUUAGUGGCGGACGGGUGAGUAACGCGUGGGUAACCUGCCCUGUACAGGGGGAUAACAGUUAGAAAUGACUGCUAAUACCCCAUAAGCGCACAGUGUCGCAUGACACAGUGUGAAAAACUCCGGUAGUACAGGAUGGACCCGCGUCUGAUUAGCUAGUUGGUGAGGUAAUGGCCCACCAAGGCAACGAUCAGUAGCCGGCUUGAGAGAGUGAACGGCCACAUUGGGACUGAGACACGGCCCAAAACUCCUACGGGAGGCAGCAGUGGGGAAUAUUGCACAAAUGGGCGAAAGCCUGAUGCAGCGACGCCGCGUGAGUGAUGACGUAUUUCGGCAUGUAAAAGCUCUAUCAGCAGGGAAGAUAAUGACGGUACCUGACUAAGAAGCCCCGGCUAAACUACGUGCCAGCAGCCG
rnacentral:rRNA from 1 species